GGCUUGGUAGUGGAGGGUCCACAUCUGCUUUCCAUUAUUGAGGCCCGGAGGAAUAGUGCAGACACUGCCUGUUCGACUCAGGCCCGAGCCA